ACACGACUACAUUAGAUACCCGCGUAGUCCCAGCCGUAAACUAUGCUCGCUAGGUGUCAGGGACGGUGCGACCGUUUCUGGUGCCGCAGGGAAGCCGUGAAGCGAGCUACCUGGGAAGUACGGUCGCAAGGCUGAAACUUAAAGGAAUUGGCGGGGAGCACCACAACGGGUGGAGCUUGCGGUUUAAUUGGAUUCAACGCCGGAAAUCUUACCGGGACCGACAGCAACAUGAAGGCCAGGCUGAAGACUUUGCCGGAUUAGCUG
rnacentral:rRNA from 1 species